rnacentral:rRNA from 1 species
GACGAACGCUGGCGGCGUGCUUCAUACAUGCAAGUCGAACGAGAAAGUUUCCUUCGGGAAGCGAGUAAAGUGGCGAACGGGUGCGUAACACGUGGGCAAUCUGCCCUGAAGUCUGGGAUAACAUUCCUAACGGAGUGCUAAUACCGGAUGUGCUCUUGGAGGGGCAUCCCUCCGCGAGUAAAGAUGGCGCGCAAGCGCUGUCGCUUCUGGAUGAGCCCGCGGCCUAUUAGCUUGUUGGUAGGGUAAUGGCCUACCAAGGCUACGAUGGGUAGCCGGCCUGAGAGGGUGACCGGCCACAUUGGGGACUGAGAUACGGCCCAGACUCCUACGGGAGGCAG